UAACCCUGGGUGAUAUCGGUCUGGUAACGCCCCUAACCCUGGGGGUGUUUGGUCUGGUAACCCCCUAACCCUGGGUGAUAUCGGUCUGGUAACCCCCUAACCCUGGGUGAUAUCGGUCUGGUAACCCCCUAACCCUGGGUGUGUUUGGUCUGGUAACGCCCCUAUCCCUGGGUGAUAUCGGUCUGGUAACGCCCCUAACCCUGGGUGUGUUUGGUCUGGUAACCCCCUAACCCUGGGGGUGUUUGGUCUGGUAACCCCCCUAAUCCUGGGUGUGUUUGGUCUGGUAACCCCCCUAACCCUGGGGGUGUUUGGUCUGGUAACCCCCCUAACCCUGGGGGUGUUUGGUCUGGUCUGUAUGUGAAGACCUUUUGUCAGCUGUGUUUCUGUCAUUGUUUUCUCCACAUCUGGACAAUCUUUCCAUCUUGUACUUUUUAAAAUUCAAUAUCAGAAGUUAGAGUUGUGAUAGAUUAGUUAGUCUGCAGUACUGUAAAACUACUAAUACUAAUAGUAAUAUACUGUACAUCAAACUACUACCACUACUAAUAAUAAUAAUAAACUGUACAUCUGUCUCUCUGUUCUCCUCAGAUAUUAUCCGACUCCACUCUGAACCAUCUCUCCUUCUACAUCACUGACCUGCCUCCCCCUCCUCUUUCCCCCUCAUCCUCCCUUCUCCUUCCCCCUCAUCCUCCCUCCUCUUCCCCCCUCUCCGCCUCUUCCUCCCUCCUCCCCCCUCAUCCUCCCUCCUCCCCCAUCCUCACUCCUCCCCCCCCUCAUCCUCCCUCCUUCCCCUCAUCCUCCCUCCUCCUUCCCCCUCAUCCUCCCCCUUCCCCCUCCUCCUCCCUCCUUCCCCCAUCCUCACUCCUCCCCCACCUCCCCUCUCAUCCUCUCUCCUUCCCCCAUCCUCACUCCUUCAUCUCAUCCUCAUCUUCUCUCCUCCUCAUCCCCCCACCCUCACUCCUCCAUCUUCUCCUCAUCCCCCAUCCUCAUUCCUCCUCAUCCCCCAUCCUCACUCCUCCAUCUCCUCCUCAUCCCCACUCCUCCAUCUCCUCCUCAACCCCAUCCUCACUAAUCCAUCUCCUCCUCAUCCCCAUCCUCACUAAUCCAUCUCUUCCUCAUCCCUAUCCUCACUCCUCCAUCUCCUCCUCAUCCCCCCAUCCUCACUAAUCCAUCUCCUCCUCAACCCCAUCCUUACUAAUCCAUCUCCUCCUCAUCCUCUCUCCUCCCCCAUCGUCAUCCUCACUCCUCCUCACUCCUCCAUCCUCUCUCCUCCUCAUCCCCCCCAUCCUCACUAAUCCAUCUCCUCCUCAACCCCAUCCUUACUAAUCCAUCUCCUCCUCAUCCUCUCUCCUCCCCCAUCGUCAUCCUCACUCCUCCUCACUCCACCAUCCUCACUCCUCCUCACUCCUCCAUCCUCAAUCCUCCUCACUCCACCAUCCUCACUCCUCCAUCCUCACUCCUCCUCACUCCACCAUCCUCACUCCUCCAUCCUCACUCCUCCAUUCUCACUCCUCACUCCUCCUCACUCCUCCAUCCUCACUCCUCCUCACUCCUCCAUCCUCACUCCUCCUCACUCCUCCAUCCUCACUCCUCCAUCCUCACUCCUCCUCACUCCUCCAUCCUCACUCCUCCAUCCUCACUCCUCCUCCUCACUCCUCCAUCCUCACUCCUCUCCUUCCUCAAAUAAUCUGCAUUUAAUUGGUGUUCAACAAAAAGAGAGAAAGAGAGAGAGUGGAACAUACAGCCAAUAGGACACAGUGUGUCUGACAUGUGACAGGGGAUUGUAGAAUAGCAGCCAAUAGGACACAGUUUGUCUGACAUGUGACAGGGGAUUGUAGAAUAGCAGCCAAUAGGACACAGUGUGUCUGACAUGUGACAGGGGAUUGUAGAAUAGCAGCCAAUAGGACACAGUUUGUCUGACAUGUGACAGGGGAUUGUAGAAUAGCAGCCAAUAGGACACAGUGUGUCUGACAUGUGACAGGGGAUUGUAGAAUAGCAGCAUAUAGGACACAGUGUAUCUGAAUCACAAUGUAACACUGUGUGAGACUGAAAGCCUUGAUUCCCAAACAGAUGCUGUCCCUUAGAUGCACUGACAGGAUUAGACUACAUCCCUACCUACCUAGUCACCCGGCUGGCCAGUCAGUCAGCCAGUCGGUCUGUCUCUCUCUCUCUCUCUCUCUCUCUCUCUCUCUCUCUCUCUCUCUCUCUCUCUCUCUCUCUCUCUCUCUCUCUCUCUCUCUCUCUCUCUCUCUCUCUCUCUGAGGAGCAUGUUUAUACUGCCAAAGCAAGUGAAAUAAACAAUAAAAAGUGAAUGUGAUACUAUGUGUAUAUACGGUGUUGUAGCGAUGUGCAAAUAAACUAACAAACAAAAAAAUGUCCUGUCACUGUCAACUGAGAGGGGGG
ensembl:lncRNA